GCUUAACCCCGGGUCUGCAUUCGAUACGGGCAGGCUAGAGUUCGGCGGGGGAGAUUGGAAUUCCUGGUGUAGCGGUAAAAUGCGCAGAUAUCAGGAGGAACACCGGUGGCGAAGGCGGAUCUCUGGGCCGAUACUGACGCUGAGGAGCGAAAGCGUGGGGAGCGAACAGGAUUAGAUACCCUGGUAGUCCACGCCGUAAACGUUGGGCACUAGGUGUGGGCGGCAUUCCACGUCGUCCGUGCCGCAGCUAACGCAUUAAGUGCCCCGCCUGGGGAGUACGGCCGCAAGGCUAAAACUCAAAGGAAUUGACGGGGGCCCGCACAAGCGGCGGAGCAUGUGGCUUAAUUCGACGCAACGCGAAGAACCUUACCAAGGCUUGACAUACACCGGAAAACUCUGGAGACAGGGUCCCCCUUUGGGUCGGUGUACAGGUGGUGCAUGGCUGUCGUCAGCUCGCGUCGUGAGAUGUUGGGUUAAGUCCCGCAACGAGCGCAACCCUUAUCCUGUGUUGCCAGCAUGCCUUUCGGGGUGAUGGGGACUCACGGGAGACUGCCGGGGUCAACUCGGAGGAAGGUGGGGACGACGUCAAGUCAUCAUGCCCCUUAUGUCUUGGGCUGCACACGUGCUACAAUGGCCGGUACAAUG
rnacentral:rRNA from 1 species